rnacentral:rRNA from 1 species
AUGGAGGUCUCCGGCCCCGUCGUCGCGCUCACGCCCGGUCAGGUGUCCUUUCUGCUUGGUCUUUUCCCGGUCCUCGUCGCAUGGAUCUACUCCGAGGUGCUGUACUACAAAAAGAAACCUUCGUCAACACACGGGCCCCAUAAUAGAUCUACCAAAGCCAAUUUAAUACGGUUUAUAACAAUGGAUGAGUCUUUUCUGCUUGAGAACCGUGAUGUGUUGAGAGCCAUGGCCGAAUGUGGCAUUAUGCUGGUUUAUUUUUACAUUUGUGACCGGACAGACAUAUUUCCACAGAGCAACAAGAACUACAGCCGCGACCUGUUUCUGUUUCUGUACAUUCUUCUCAUCAUAGCAUCGACACUUACUUCACUUAAGAAGCACCAGGAGGUAUCUUCAUUUACCGGAAAGUCCACGCUCUAUCUUAAUCGCCACCAAACUGAGGAAUGGAGAGGCUGGAUGCAGGUCUUAUUUCUGAUGUACCACUAUUUCGGUGCAUCGGAAAUAUACAAUGCAAUUCGUGUUUUCAUUGCUUGCUAUGUUUGGUUGACUGGGUUUGGGAAUUUCUCAUACUACUAUACCAAGAAAGAUUUUAGCAUUGCAAGAUUUGCUCAGAUGAUGUGGAGGCUAAAUUUCUUUGUUGCCUUAUGUUGCAUUGUCCUUGACAAUGAUUUUAUGUUGUAUUAUAUCUGCCCAAUGCACACCCUAUUUACACUCAUGGUGUAUGGGACACUUGGUCUGUUUAACAAGUAUAAUGAGAUACCAUCAGUUAUGGCUAUCAAAAUUGCUUGCUCCUUCUUGAGUGUCAUUUUGAUAUGGGAAGUUCCUGGGGUAUUCAAUGUUUUGUGGAGCCCCUUUACAUUUUUACUUGGCUAUAAAGACCCAAAUCCUUCCAAGUCACACUUACCAUUGUUGCACGAGUGGCAUUUUCGAUCUGGGCUUGAUCGAUACAUAUGGAUUAUUGGAAUGAUUUAUGCUUAUUUCCACCCUAAUGUGGAAAGAUGGAUGGAGAAGCUGGAAGAAUCUAAGACUAAGGUUGGGCUGUCGAUCAAGGGCACCAUUGUGACUAUUUCUAUCAUAGCGGGCUAUCUAUGGUAUGAAUAUAUCUAUAAGCUAGACAAAAUUACGUACAACAAGUACCAUCCCUACACGUCAUGGAUUCCUAUCACCGUGUAUAUUUGUCUGCGCAAUUGCACCCAACAGUUGAGGGGCGCCUCUCUAGCUCUUUUCACUUGGCUUGGCAAGGUCACGCUUGAGACUUACAUUUCUCAGUUCCACAUCUGGCUCAGGUCUAGUGUACCAAAUGGGCAGCCCAAAUGGCUUCUAUCUUUCAUACCGGAUUACCCAAUGCUUAACUUCAUGCUUACUACAACAAUCUAUAUUUUUCUAUCAUACCGAGUAUUUGAGCUGACAAAAGUACUGAAGGGAGCCUUUAUUCCCAAUAGAGACAACAAUCGCAUGUAUCAAAAUUUUAUUUUUGGGGUUGUCAUUUCUUUAUGUUUGUAUUGUUGCUCACAUAUUCUUCUGAAAAUUCCAGUUGUAUAG